rnacentral:rRNA from 1 species
AAACGCUUGAAGUCAGUCGCGUUCUCUGGGAUUCAGCCUUGCUUCUGCUUGGUGCAUUUCCUAGUUUACGGGCCAACAUGAAUUUUGACCAGUGGAAAAGGAUUUGGGGAAUGUGGCACCUCCGGGUGUGUUAUAGCCCCUUGUCGCAUACAUUGGUUGGGAUUGAGGUUU